GGGGCUGUAGUGUAGCUUGGCUAUCACAUUUGGUUUGGGACCAAAUAACCCCGGUUCGAAUCCGGGCAGCCCCA
rnacentral:tRNA from 1 species